rnacentral:misc_RNA from 1 species
AAGUCGUAACAAGGUUUCCGUAGGUGAACCUGCGGAAGGAUCAUUAACACGAUACAAUCGUAUCAACCAAACCGUGCUCUUGUUGUUAGCCUUUGGCUGUAAUUGUAGAGUUAAAGCUUAGUGUGCUGAGGGUAAAGCACUAAGUGAUUAGAUUGGGUUACAGCAAUGUAAUUCAGUCUGAGCUCUAUAGUUAUUUCCUUAGGUUUUAUUUUUUUAUCCUCAAACAUUAACCACAUUAACCCCCUUAACAUACAACUUUGUACUGACAAACAUUUCUAACUCGAAAGAGUAAGGAAAUUAAAAAACGCUGUACAACUCUUAGCAAUGGAUAUCUUGGUUCUC